AGAAGGCCAGCAACGUUCCUGACUGCACGCAGGAGUCUAUUAGUCUAUUAGUCUACAGCUUGGGCAAAUGGAAGACUUGUCCCAGCCUCAGUUUCUCCAUCCACAAACAGGGACGAUGAUAAUGAUACGCACCCAGAGAGCUGGAUGAGGAUCAAAUGGGCUUUUUGGCACUUAGAGGCGCUGUGCAGCAAGCAGGCAUAGCUGGCUUACAUCUUCACCACCAACCGCCCUCUCCCAAAGACCCACUCCAGAAACCUGCCCCCGACCGAGGCGCCCAUCUCACCUGGCUUCGUACACAGGUAGGAGUAAAAGCCCUCGGACUUGAGCAUGAUGAGCAGCGAACCCCAGCCCAGGAGGACUGCGGAGAAAAGGAGGUUUUCCAACACAGCGGUGCAGGCCAUCCACCAGCGGCGCCGAUGGGCAGUGGCCAGGGUGGGCGCCAUGGUGCGGUGUGGCGGUGGUCGGGCUCCGGUUCUGCAGACACCUGCGCGCAGACCUCAGCUUCAGCGGUGGCUCUACCCAACCCGUGUAGCCGCUGGCGCACAGCCUGUCAGUCCCUUGCAGCCCAGGCUAUAGGUGCCCGCCGCAAAAGAAAAGAACCCUAGCCCUGUCAGGGACCUGGGCCACCCCGUACCCGCAGCUACCUGGUAACGCUACCUUAGGCCACAGUGGAGCCCCGCUGGCCAAGAGGAAAGGCUUCUCCCUUAGUUCACUCGGAGGUAAACUGAGGCAUGGCAGCUGGAAAAGGGCUAAUUAUGCUCAAGGACGUGGAGCGGGUCCUGAUCCCAAGCAAGACUGAACAGCCACUUUGGGGGCCGGAAAGGGAGGCAGCUCGUAGUAAGGUCACCUGAGCAGAGGCUCACCUGAGAGCUGCCACUCCCAGGGACCCUGACAGGCUCCCGCCCGCCCGCACUCGAGACCCUUCCUUAGUGCUUGUUCCUUCAACCACAAAAUCAGCACAGGGAGCCCCGAAACGGCCCGCCCACGGCGCUUUCAUUGGCGGGACCGCACAGGAACUGCCGCGCCAUUGGUUAGUGUUUAGGUCGCUAGGCGCUACCGCCACGCGAACCCCGCAUGGGAGAGGCGAAGCCGGUUCAAACCGGCGGCGCGAGCCAACCGCGCGACCCCCGUGUCGGGCUGUUACCCCGGCGAUUAGCCCGUUUCCAUAGAAGCGGAUCCCGUCCCUCUGUCCUCCUGGCCUUUUUCGUUACGUCUCCCUCCCGGUGUCGUCCCUCUGACAAGUAUGCACCUUCCCUCCAACCCCUGCCUGCGAGCGGCUUCAGGUUCUCGCACCCUCGUCUGAGACCCGGAUCCUGGGAGUCCAGCUCACCCGGCUCCUACCAGUGUGUAUCGGGCCCGCCCGGCGCCUUUUCUGUCCCCUUUAUUUCCAGCCCUUUUAUUCCUAUCCUAAGAUGAAAAACACUGCCGCCCGUUGAUUGGCUGAGUGGGGCUGGAAACAGGCGUCGGCCAAUCAGCAGCUACCCACCCGCCCCCCGGCGAGCAGAAGCCGGUUCCGGCCGGACUUGGAGACAAACAAGAGGAAUGGGGGGGCUGGGGGGCGGCUCGGGCAGGCCCAGCUCUACCCAGUUAAACUGGAGUGCCCCUCGACCCGGUGACCGCCGCGGGCAUCGCCCCACGCCCUUCUCGUUGCCCUCUUCCUUGUCAAGUUCAUGGGUCAGCGUUUCAGGGAGUCUUGGUCCACAGCGAGCUGGGCUCCAAGCACCGUGCGGUUCGGCCCGCAGUAUAGACCACCGUUCUCGCCCGGAGAGAACCAGGGCCGGAUGCUCCAACUCCGCAGGCCAUUACCGCCCUUUUGUGCUGUUUCCCGGCCUGCUCCUUGGGCUUUGUGUCCGGGCUCCUCGCUGCCUAGCCCCCGUUGUCCUAUCCAGGCGCUGUCUACGGGUAUCAGAACACCCCGACCCAGGUCGUGGCAUAAUUACCGCAUCCCUGCUAGAUCUCCCGACUCACCGGGUCCUUGCCUGGAAUCAGGUGCCUCCUGCCUGGUCUUUAAUCGGUGUCCCUUAAGGGUCUGUAGUCAGGAUUUUGGACUAAGAGCCCCUGGUCCUCCAGUUGUCGCCAUCCCCAUCCCGCGCCCUCUUUUCUCGGUGCCUUCAGAGACCGGUCAGUGUUCAGGCCGGUCACCUUGGCAUGCCCUGCCCUCCCACUUUCCCAAACGACUCUUUCAUGUGGCUGGCACACUUUCUCGUCCACCCUUCUUCAUGCUGUGAGCAAUCCCGAGCACCUAGUUAGUCUAAGUCUGACUUUGGAGAGCGCGAUAGAUCACUAGGGGUCCAAAGAGCUCCGUCCUUUCUGUAUCAUCAGCGGAGCUGCGCUGCUCUGAGGACCUGCUUGGACGUGGAAUGGAGCCUCAGCACGAAAGAUUUGGCUGUCCGUCCGAGUCUCCCUGACGAGAGGCACUAACCUCCCCUCAGAAAACACUCGGUAUCCCUCAGAUUCUCCACACUUCAAGAGCCGGCUUGCUUUAGAGCUAAGGGUGUCCCCAGCAGCCUGACUCAGCUUCCCUCAGCUCGAGUGCGCCCCCUGGUGCCCAGAACCUUCGCCAGCCAUUCUGCUAGUGCAUGCUCUCCCAGACUUGGUCUAGGCUUGCUGGUGGGUUUGGGGGCCUGAUGACCUACUGUGCAGAAAUCUCAUAAGCUCCAAAUUGGACCUACUAUCUGCCAAUAGAUUAAGCCCUUCAAUCCUUUUCCUAAGCAAUCUGCUUGAGGACCUUCUCCAGACAUAUAUCUAAAAUGUUCCCUCCCCCUCUUCAAAUAAAUAGUGCCCCCUUCUCCCUC
rnacentral:lncRNA from 1 species